ACAACUUCGUGUUAAAUAAACACCAAUAAAGCUUUUGUUAUUUUGUUGUGUACGUAAUCAUACAGAUAAGAAAAUAUAACAUUCUUGACCGUGGGCUUGUAUAUUUACUUUUUUUCAGGUUUAUUGUGAGUUUAGCAGAGUGGUGGGGAAAAAUCUCAGAGAACUUCUUUGAUUCACUAGACAGCUUCUCUACAAACCUAAUUGAGCUCUUCAGGAAGAAGAGAGGACUUACUGGUCAGCUUUUGGCAGCGCUUUUAUAUCAAACAAAGAGCUCUGAGCCAACAGACAUCAGGUGCCUUUGUCUUCGGGGACUGCCAAUCAUCCUGGGAGAUGAUCCUUCUGCCUUCUUCAAGACCUGCUCUGAUACAGCUGACAAAGAGUCAUACAGGGGGGUGUCGUGGCUCAGGUGGAUGUCGUGGCUCAGGUGAAUAAGGCGCCAUACCAUAAAUCUGGGGACCUGGGUUCGAUUCCGGCCCGAGGUCAUUUCCCAAUCCCUCCCGGUCUCUCU